AUUGAACGCUGGCGGCAGGCCUAACACAUGCAAGUCGAGCGGAUGAAGGGAGCUUGCUCCUGGAUUCAGCGGCGGACGGGUGAGUAAUGCCUAGGAAUCUGCCUGGUGGUGGGGGAUAACGUCCGGAAACGGGCGCUAAUACCGCAUACGCCCUGAGGGAGAAAGUGGGGGAUCUUCGGACCUCACGCUAUCAGAUGAGCCUAGGUCGGAUUAGCUAGUUGGUGGGGUAAAGGCCUACCAAGGCGACGAUCCGUAACUGGUCUGAGAGGAUGAUCAGUCACACUGGAACUGAGACACGGUCCAGACUCCUACGGGAGGCAGCAGUGGGGAAUAUUGGACAAUGGGCGAAAGCCUGAUCCAGCCAUGCCGCGUGUGUGAAGAAGGUCUUCGGAUUGUAAAGCACUUUAAGUUGGGAGGAAGGGCAGUAAGUUAAUACCUUGCUGUUUUGACGUUACCAACAGAAUAAGCACCGGCUAACUUCGUG
rnacentral:rRNA from 1 species